rnacentral:sRNA from 1 species
AAGCUAAAGAAGUAAAAUUCCUUUGCCCUCUUUGUAUGCGGUCUCGAAGGCCCAGGCUAGAGACUAUUCUGUCACUCCUGGUAUCCCUUCAGAAGUUGCCUGUACGGUUGCCUGAAGGAGAGGCCCUACAGUGUUUGACAGAACGUGCUAUGAGUUGGCAAGAUAGAGCACGGCAGGCUCUAGCCACAGAUGAACUAUCCUCUGCCCUGGCCAAACUAUCUGUGUUGAGCCAGCGUAUGGUGGAACAGGCAGCUCGAGAAAAAACUGAAAAGAUCAUCAGUGCAGAACUACAAAAAGCAGCUGCCAAUCCAGACUUACAGGGACACUUACCUAGUUUCCAGCAGUCUGCUUUUAACCGGGUGGUGAGCAGUGUGUCAUCUUCUCCUCGACAAACAAUGGACUAUGAUGACGAAGAAACAGACUCUGAUGAAGACAUUCGAGAGACAUAUGGCUACGACAUGAAGGUAGUUACAUGGACAAGCUGUGUGGGUACAUACCUGAUCAUUGGGUUUGUUU